rnacentral:rRNA from 1 species
GACAGAGGGUGCAAACGUUGCUCGGAAUUACUGGGCGUAAAGCGCGUGUAGGUGGAUUGGUGUGUCAGAUGUGAAAGCCCCGGGCUCAACCUGGGAAUUGCAUUCGAGACUGCUCUGCUAGGGUGCGGAAGAGGGAAGCGGAAUUUCCGGUGUAGCGGUGAAAUGCGUAGAUAUCGGAAGGAACACCAGUGGCGAAAGCGGCUUCCUGGUCCAGCACCGACGUCAGGCACGAAAGCGUGGGGAGCAAACAGG